rnacentral:rRNA from 1 species
UACGUAGGGGGCAAGCGUUGUCCGGAAUCAUUGGGCGUAAAGCGCGUGUAGGCGGCUCGAUAAGUCUGCUGUGAAAGUCCAGGGCUCAACCCUGGGAUGCCGGUGGAUACUGCUGGGCUAGAGUACGGAAGAGGCGAGUGGAAUUCCCGGUGUAGCGGUGAAAUGCGCAGAUAUCGGGAGGAACACCUAUUGCGAAGGCAGCUCGCUGGGACGUUACUGACGCUGAGACGCGAAAGCGUGGGGAGCAAACAGG